AGAGGAAGAGAACCUCGCUGAGGAGAAACAGGAGGAAGAGGAGCCUGUCAUCUGUGACCCAGAGCAAAAAGAGGAAGAAGAGCCACAGCGGACCUCCCCCUCGCCACCUCCAAGUCCUGAACCAGUUACAACCCAGCCCAAGGCUGAUCCAGAAUCAGAACCAGAAACCGACAUCAAGGAAGCCAAUGAAGACGCUGAGCCUGUAACCCAGCAGCCACAGAAAUCGAAGGCAGAUGGUCAAAGCCCAGAUUCUGACAAAGCUAGUGACAAAGAGGAGGAAGCUACUGGGG